ACUGAAAUAGCUCAGUUGGUAGAGCGUCAGACUAUAAAUCGAAAGGGCCAAAGUUCGAUCCCCGGUUCCGCAA
rnacentral:tRNA from 1 species